rnacentral:rRNA from 1 species
UACAGAGGUCUCAAGCGUUGUUCGGAAUUACUGGGCGUAAAGCGCGUGCAGGUGGUUUUUUAAGUUUCGUGUGAAAUCCCAUGGCUUAACCAUGGAACGGCACGGAAAACUGGAAGGCUUGAGUACGGGAGAAGAGGGCGGAAUUCCCAGUGUAGAGGUGAAAUUCGUAGAUAUUGGGAGGAACACCGGUGGCGAAAGCGGCUCUCUAGACCGAUACUGACGCUCAUACGCGAGAGCGUGGGUAGCAAACAGG